UACGAAGGGUGCUAGCGUUGUUCGGAAUUACUGGGCGUAAAGCGCGCGUAGGCGGUGAUGCAAGUCAGGGGUGAAAUCCCGGAGCUUAACUCCGGAACUGCCUUUGAAACUGCAUUGCUGGAGUGUGUGAGGGGAUAGCGGAAUUCCUAAUGUAGAGGUGAAAUUCGUAGAUAUUAGGAGGAACACCGGUGGCGAAGGCGGCUAUUUGGCACACAACUGACGCUGAGGCGCGAAAGCGUGGGGAUCAAACAGG
rnacentral:rRNA from 1 species